AGUCGACGAUGAAGCCCAGCUUGCUGGGCGGAUUAGUGGCGAACGGGUGAGUAACACGUGAGUAACCUGCCCUUGACUCUGGGAUAAGCCCGGGAAACUGGGUCUAAUACCGGAUAGGAGCGCCUGUCGCAUGACGGGUGCUGGAAAGAUCUUUCGGUCAUGGAUGGACUCGCGGCCUAUCAGCUUGUUGGUGAGGUAACGGCUCACCAAGGCGACGACGGGUAGCCGGCCUGAGAGGGUGACCGGCCACACUGGGACUGAGACACGGCCCAGACUCCUACGGGAGGCAGCAGUGGGGAAUAUUGCACAAUGGGCGAAAGCCUGAUGCAGCGACGCCGCGUGAGGGAUGACGGCCUUCGGGUUGUAAACCUCUUUCAGCAGGGAAGAAGCGAAAGUGACGGUACCUGCAGAAGAAGCACCGGCUAACUACGUGCCAGCAGCCGCGGUAAUACGUAGGGUGCGAGCGUUAUCCGGAAUUAUUGGGCGUAAAGAGCUCGUAGGCGGUUUGUCACGUCUGUCGUGAAAGUCCGGGGCUUAACCCCGGAUCUGCGGUGGGUACGGGCAGACUAGAGUGCAGUAGGGGAGACUGGAAUUCCUGGUGUAGCGGUGGAAUGCGCAGAUAUCAGGAGGAACACCGAUGGCGAAGGCAGGUCUCUGGGCUGUAACUGACGCUGAGGAGCGAA
rnacentral:rRNA from 1 species